UGUAGUUCUUGGAGGAUCUGUCCCUAGUACGAGAGGACCGGGAUGGACGAACCUCUGGUGGACCUGUUGUGGCGCCAGCCGCAGUGCAGGGUAGCUAUGUUCGGUCGGGAUAACCGCUGAAGGCAUCUAAGCGGGAAACCCCCCUUGAAACGAGAACUCCCUCGAGAGCCGUGGAAGACGACCACGUGGAUAGGCUGGAUGUGCAAGCGCGGUAACGCGCUGAGCUGACCAGUACUAAUCGCUCGAUCGGCUUGAUCGCUCUCAUGAU
rnacentral:rRNA from 1 species